rnacentral:misc_RNA from 1 species
GAUGAAGAACGUAGCGAAAUGCGAUAAGUAGUGUGAAUUGCAGAAUUCAGUGAAUCAUCGAAUCUUUGAACGCACAUUGCGCCCUUUGGUAUUCAAAGGGCAUGCCUGUUCGAGCGUCAUUUGUACCCUCAAGCUUUGCUUGGUGUUGGGCGUCUUGUCUCUAGCUUUGCUGGAGACUCGCCUUAAAGUAAUUGGCAGCCGGCCUACUGGUUUCGGAGCGCAGCACAAGUCGCACUCUCUAUCAGCAAAGGUCUAGCAUCCAUUAAGCCUUUUUUUCAACUUUUGACCUCGGAUCAGGUAGGGAUACCCGCUGAACUUAAGCAUAUCAAUAAGCGGAGGA